CCUACGGGAGGCAGCAGUGGGGGAUAUUGCACAAUGGGGGAAACCCUGAUGCAGCGACGCCGCGUGUGGGAAGACGGUCCUCUGGAUUGUAAACCACUGUCCCCAGGGACGAAGAUGACGGUACUUGGGGAGGAAGCUCCGGCUAACUACGUGCCAGCAGCCGCGGUAAUACGUAGGGAGCGAGCGUUGUCCGGAAUUACUGGGUGUAAGGGGAGCGUUGGCGGGGAUGCAAGUAGUGUGUCAAAACUACCGGCUCAACUGGGAGUCGCACUCAAAACUGCUGCUCUUGAGUGAAGUAGAGGCAGGCGGAAUUUCUAGUGUAGCGGUGAAAUGCGUAGAUAUUAGGAGGAACACCAGUGGCGAAGGCAGCCUGCUGGGCUUUUACUGACGCUGAGGCUCGAAAGUGUGGGGAGCAAACAGGAUUAGAUACCCCUGUAGUC
rnacentral:rRNA from 1 species